GGAGGGGGCAAGCGUUGUUCGGAUUGACUGGGCGUAAAGGGCGCGUAGGCGGAUGUGUAAGUUGGGGGUGAAAGGCCUGGGCUCAACCUGGGAAUUGCCUCCAAAACUACACGUCUUGAGUUCGGAAGAGGAUGGCGGAAUUCCCAGUGUAGAGGUGAAAUUCGUAGAUAUUGGGAAGAACAGCAGUGGCGAAGGCGGCCAUCUGGUCCGACACUGACGCUGAGGCGCGAAAGCGUGGGGAGCAAACAGGAUUAGAUACCCUGGUAGUCCACGCCGUAAACGAUGUGUGCUAGCCCGUUGGGGCUUUUGAGCUUCAGUGGCGCAGCUAACGCGAUAAGCACACCGCCUGGGGGAGUACGGUCGCAAGAUUA
rnacentral:rRNA from 1 species